rnacentral:lncRNA from 1 species
CUUGCCCACCAGGCUUGGCCCACUGGCACUCCAGUGAAGGUUUUACUGCUUGCCUGUGCUGUCCUGUACUUCCCUGACCACCAGCUCAGCCCAGUAACUGCGGGCCAGUUCUGGCUCAGGGCAGCCCAGCAAACUUCCCCACAGCCUAGUGGGUUACAAUCGCAACCUCUUCAAGAAGGCUGGAAUCUCAUAUCUGAGAUCUUUGGGGAUAGGUAAUUGGUUGCAGUGUUUCUCGGAAAGAAGUAGAUGGGCAGGCUACUAAAAUAUUUCUUGAUCUAUGUAACAGAAAAAUCUGUAAGUCUGGCCAAAAACCUGACUUGAGUAGCCAGUUUCCAGACCUAAGUCAGGGCACAGACCCAGAGCCUCUUGACCGAAAGGGACCCUGGAGCCCCUUGAGGAAGGCCUCUGCUGCAUUUUUACAAGUAGGCGCUGUGAAUCUUCUUCUAAUCCUCAUCCAAAGGACAUCAGGCCAGUUACGGGAGGGAUUGUGCAAGACUCAAACAUUUUGAAGAUUACUGGACACCGGCUGUGAAUUGACACUAAUUCCUGGGCAUCCAAAAUGUGGCUCUGAUCUACCAGUCAAAGUGGGGGCUAUAGUGAUCAAGUAACAGAUAGAGCCUUAGCUGAAGUUUAACUCACACUGGGCCUAAUUCAUCCACAGACCCAGCUUGUGGGUUAUUUCCCCAGAUCUUGAAUGUAUAACUGUAAUACACUUACUUGGAAACUGGAAGUAUCCCCCACAUUGACUCUUAGACCCACAGGAUGAGAGUCAUUAUGGUAAGGCUAAAUAGAAACACCUGGAACUGCCCCUUCAUACCAAGCUAAUAAAUCAGAAGCAGUAUUGUAUCUCUGGGGAAAUUCCAGAGAUUUAUGCCAAUAUCCAUCAUUGAAAGAAGUCAGAGUGGUGAUACCUAUCAUGUUCCCUUUUAACUCACCUGUUUGGCCUGUGCAGACAUUGGACGAUUAUUGGAGAAUAACUGUGGUUUGUCAUAAACUGAAUCAGGCAGUGAUUCCAAAUGCAGCUGUCGUCUCUGUUGAACCUUUACUGGAGCAAAUCAGUGCAAUUCCCAGCCUUUGCUCUCCUCUUCAUCUGUAAAGAAGGUGAAUGCUGAUGUCCCUCCAGUAAGAAAGAAAGACCCCAGGCCACCCUGAGUCACAGUUCUCCUUCUAUAGCAGCCAAACUCCUGGCACUGGAUGCAAGAACUCCAUCAGGCCGUGUUGGCCUCCUGGACACAGAUGCUCCCCAGACAUCCCCGAGACCAUGCCAGGAGGAAGGCCACUGCUUGUGAGGGCUACCUGGAUGGAAGCAUAUCUCUCAGGGGUGGAAGUGCCCGAUUAAAAUGACUUUGUUUCCAAUUUCUGACUCUAGAACAGUGUUUCUCAUCUUUCUAUGAUGGAAGAUCCCAAUUAUUUCAUUAUUUGGUUCUCAGACUUCAUUUCUCAUCUAAUAAUAUUGUUAAUCAAUCCACUCUUCUCCCAUAAACACUUAUAUCCCUGAUUCAAUUUCUGGUCAUUCUGACUUUUACUCAUUUUUUUUGUAAGUUCAUCUCGACUCUUCAUGGAUGUCCAUUUUAUCUGUCUUGUUUUUUACCUAG